AUCCUGGCUCAGAUUGAACGCUGGCGGCAGGCCUAACACAUGCAAGUCGAGCGAGAAAGCCUUCGGGUGAGUACAGCGGCGGACGGGUGAGUAACGCGUAGGAAUCUACCUGGUAGUGGGGGACAACAUGGGGAAACCCAUGCUAAUACCGCAUACGCCCUAUGGGGGAAAGCGGGGGACCUUCGGGCCUCGCGCUAUCAGAUGAGCCUGCGUAGGAUUAGCUUGUUGGUGAGGUAAAGGCUCACCAAGGCGACGAUCCUUAGCUGGUCUGAGAGGAUGAUCAGCCACACUGGAACUGAGACACGGUCCAGACUCCUACGGGAGGCAGCAGUGGGGAAUAUUGCGCAAUGGGCGAAAGCCUGACGCAGCCAUGCCGCGUGUGUGAAGAAGGCCUUCGGGUUGUAAAGCACUUUCAAUUGGGAAGAAAGGUUGGUAGUUAAUAACUGCCAGCUGUGACGUUACCUUUAGAAGAAGCACCGGCUAACUCCGUG
rnacentral:rRNA from 1 species